AGUACAAGCUUUGGCUCUGUAUCCGGAAGCGGCCGGCGUCCUGCAGCUGUCAUGGCGGCUGGCGGGAACCUGAGCCGGACGGAGCGGAAAGCGGCAGCACGAGCCGAGAUUCUGCAGCAGGAGGAGCAGCGGGACCGGCGCAGACAGGUGUCCCGGAUCCUGAAGAAGCCGGUGGCGGAGCGGAACCCUGAGGAGAGCCUGCUCCUGAGCGAGUGUGAGGAUAUCGUGCGGGAGCUGGAGCGGCGGUGCAAGAAGCGCGAAGGGCUGCGCAGGAGGCAGGAGGAGGUUUGUGAUGAACCAGAGGAAUUAAAGAGAAAGGUUAUUGAGCUGGCUGCAGCUGUCCAAAGUGCGAAACACCUGGUCAUCUAUACAGGAGCUGGGAUCAGCACGGCAGCUUCAAUCCCUGACUACAGAGGUCCUAAUGGAGUUUGGACAUUACUGCAGAAAGGGAGGAGUAUCAGGGCUACAGAUCUGAGUGAAGCGGAGCCCACACUCACCCAUAUGAGCAUUGCCUGCUUACACAAGCACAACCUGGUACAGCAUGUGGUGUCUCAGAACUGUGAUGGGCUCCACCUACGGAGUGGGUUACCCCAAGCAGCAAUAUCUGAGCUUCAUGGAAACAUGUACAUAGAGGUCUGUACUUCCUGCACACCCAAUAGAGAAUAUGUGCGAGUGUUUGAUGUGACGGAGCGCACAGCCCUGCACAGACAUCAUACAGGCAGGAUGUGCCAUAAGUGUGGGGCACAGCUGAGAGACACAAUCGUCCAUUUCGGGGAGAAAGGGACCUUGAGGGAACCUCUGAACUGGGAAGCAGCAACAGAGGCUGCGAGCAAAGCAGAUGUGAUUCUGUGUCUGGGUUCCAGCUUAAAGGUUUUGAAAAAGUAUCCACAUCUUUGGUGCAUGAGCAAACCCCCCAGUCGCCGUCCAAAACUCUACAUUGUGAACCUGCAGUGGACUCCAAAGGAUGAUCUUGCUGCCCUGAAACUACAUGGGAAAUGUGAUGAUGUUAUGAGAUUAUUGAUGGAAGAACUUGGUCUGGAGAUCCCAUGCUAUGACAGCUAUGAUAUGGUGCAUUAUGGCCACUCGAAUCAGCUGCGCCAGGCUCGGGCCAUGGGAGACUAUCUCAUUGUGGGAGUCCACACGGAUGAGGAGAUUGCCAAGCACAAAGGACCACCUGUCUUUACCCAGGUGGAGAGGUACAAAAUGGUGCAAGCUAUCAAGUGGGUGGAUGAGAUUGCCGUACAAGCUCCCUACGUCACCACACUGGAAACCCUGGACAAGUAUAAUUGUGACUUCUGUGUGCACGGCAAUGACAUAACACUAACUGUAGACGGCAAGGACACCUAUGAAGAGGUGAAGGCAGCUGGAAGAUACAGGGAAUGUAAUCGCACGCAGGGAGUGUCCACUACUGAUUUGGUUGGUCGCAUGUUGCUCAUGACCAAGGCUCACCACAGCAACAUAGAUGAAGACCUGGAUUACCGGAAGCACAAGGAUAACUUUGGGAAGGGCCCUAAAGGUCACAGCCCCUGGACUGGAGUCUCUCAGUUCCUGCAAACAUCCCAAAAGAUCAUCCAAUUUGCAUCUGGGAAGGAGCCGCAGCCAGGAGACACCAUCAUCUAUGUGGCUGGAGCCUUUGACCUGUUCCAUAUUGGGCACGUGGAUUUCUUGGAGAAAGUGCACCUGCAGGCCGAGAGACCCUACAUCAUUGCUGGGCUGCACUUUGAUCAGGAAGUGAAUCGCUACAAAGGGAAGAACUAUCCCAUCAUGAACAUCCACGAGAGAACUCUUAGCGUCUUGGCAUGCAGGUAUGUGUCCGAGGUGGUGAUUGGCGCCCCGUACGCAGUUACUGCCGAUCUGCUGGAUCAUUUCAAGGUGGAACUUGUGUGUCAUGGGCUGACUGAGGUGGUGCCAGAUAAGGAUGGCUCUGAUCCAUACCAGGAGCCCAAGAGACGUGGCAUUUUCCGGCUGGUGGACAGUGGCAGCAACCUCACUACAGACCUGAUUGUGCAAAGAAUCAUCAAGAACAGGUUGGAGUUUGAAGCCAGGAACCAGAAGAAAGAAGCAAAAGAGCUGGCUGUGCUGGAGGCCAUGAAGAAAAUGGAGGAAGAGGAGCAUGAGAAAGGCCUGCAGAGCUAGGAUGAUUCAGAACAAGUGUGUGGAGGGGGAGAGCACAGCAGUGUUCUCUCUUCUGGAGAAGUGCAUGCCCGCUCCGUGCUGUCCCGCAGCCACUGUUUGGAUGAGACCCAGAUGGUGCUUCCCUGGGUGUCAGAUGCUCUGUGCAGCCUCUGAGCUGAUGCUGGGGUGCAAGCAGCAACCAGGAGAGGCUACGAAUAUGGGCUGAAUGACACUGUACUCUAGUGAGUCCUGCAGCCCUAUCAGUGCACUGCACCGUGGCUGUCCUGUGUGGCUGAUCUUGGGGAGGAUGUAAACUCAGGCCUGUUGAAUUCCUUUGCUGCUGGGAGUUGGCAGUGACAGUCCCAUGUGCAGUGGCCUCAGCUCCAGGAGCCUGUAUGUGCCCCAUGUGCAACCAGCUGUGUGUGCAUGGUCACUGUGUGGGUGCUGCAGCUGGAGCUCAGCCUGGCCCUGCUGUGGUGGAUGACCCGCGUGGCUAGCUCUGAAUGCUUUCAGAACUGUGGGUCCCUCCUGCCCAUAAAUCAUCCUCUGCAGUAGGAGUGUUAUCCUAGUGGCCUGCUCCAUUCCCCUGCCACCUCAGCUGUGUGUGUGUUCCCAGCAAAACAUCCUCUUUCCCUUCUUGUGCUAUGCAGAUUACCCCAGGCAGCUGCAUUUUGGUAGGGAGAGUGGUCCCUGUCAGUGGAGGGUUGGGAGUGGCUUAGGACCCCCUAUAACAACUGGAUCAAUGGCCAGGGAGAACAGACUGUGGUCUCUGCUGAGCCUGCCAGGCAGAAGUGGGGUGGGUGGGAUCCCUCCUGGUCCAUGAUGUUCUCUACAGCCUCCCAGCCCAGAGUGGGGCUUUCUCUCCUGAUCGGUGUUGGUUUCUGCUGCCUCUAGUUCUCCGUGAGUUCAGCUUGUGCUUCCUUUACUGAGUUAGUCAACGCUGGGCAGAGCAGAGCCCUGGGCCUGGGAGAAAGGGGCCCCACAUUGCACUGUGCUUGGCCCACUGCCUAGCCUCCCUUGGGUGGGGGAGGUUGUGGAGGGGCCCCACCCCGCUGCUAAGUGAGCUAAUGAGGCCCUUGGGGCUGUGAUCGGCUGUUGGGGGCUAGGCAAGGGCAUCCUGCUGGUUCCAUCCAUCGAGGAGGACUUUGGGCUUGUUUGUGCUGGGGGCAUAUGUGCCUGCUGGAGAGGGGUUAAGGGCACAGAGCAGUGGUUCUGGGGCUGCUCCUUUGCACAUCUGUGGUGGGGGAGGAGAGGUGGCACUGGGAGAGAGAAGCAGACUGGAGAGCCCCAAGCAGAACGGCAGCUGCAUUGGCCUCAGCAGAUGGCUGUGGUCGGGGGGCAGUUACUGGAGGGUUAGCUAAACGUGGCUGAUGCUUUAUUCUGGACUUUUAUUUUCUCAUUGUUGGUGUCUGAUGCCACCAUAGCUGGCGCUCAUCUCCUAGCUACGUCUGGGUGCCUCUGCAGAUCCAUCAGCUGCUGACUUGUGCCUGCUCUUGCCUCAAGCUGCCAAAAGGGCAAGUUGUGUCUCCUGAGCCACUCUGGGCCUUCCUAGAGCUCAGCGUUCGUCUUGGGGUGGAAGCGUUCCCAUUUACACAUUCGUUCCCUGGCGUGGUGAGACCUGUCAGUUCUCGGCUCCCUCUGCAAAGUCAGACUCAAGAAGAGUUUGUCAUUAAAUACAAACAACCCAACAAAAGUGGCAAUUCUACCCCUGGCUGAAUGUUUCCAUAGAAAGAUGCUGCCUCUGGGCCCAAACAGUUGCAAUGGUUAUUAAAAAUGUCAAUGUUAUUUAAUUUUUGCUCUCCCCAGUGCUUCGGUGCCUGACUGCUUGUGUCACUCAUUUGCUCAGGAACUUCAGCUUCUCUUGAUGAGAUGGAAUAAACAGUGCCUGGCAGA